rnacentral:rRNA from 1 species
UACGUAGGGUGCAAGCGUUAAUCGGAAUUACUUGGCGUAAAGCGUGCGCAGGCGGUUAUAUAAGACAGAUGUGAAAUCCCCGGGCUCAACCUGGGAACUGCAUUUGUGACUGCAAGGCUAGAGUACGGCAGAGGGGGAUGGAAUUCCGCGUGUAGCAGUGAAAUGCGUAGAUAUGCGGAGGAACACCAAUGGCGAAGGCAAUCCCCUGGGCCUGUACUGACGCUCAUGCACGAAAGCGUGGGGAGCAAACAGG